UUUUUCCCGCUAACUUCACACGUUGAGCUUUUUUCCUGCUGAGUUCACGUUUAUAAACAAAAAUUGAAUUUAAAUAGUUUUCAGCGUAAAAAUCGUGCGUUGAAAGAAAUUAGUAUAUAUAAUUUAUCUACUAUUUAUAACAGGUUCCAGAUACCCGAGAUAUCCAGAACAAUGAUGGGUGAUAAUUUUUAAUCGUAGGAGAAAGCAGUCAACGAUGAGUCUUCAUGGGCAAUACGAGCGUUGGCAAACGCGUCACUAUUUUACUUCUUAUUGCUUAAAUAAAGUCUCGACUGAGGAUGAGCCUGCUUCACAGAAAUUUCAAAAGUUCAUCCAGCACAAACUACCUCGCAAGCAACCACGAAAAUUGGAUGCAGUUGUACUACGAAACACAAAGGAAACUUGGAGGAUAACGUGCCUCUGGAGUCGGCCAUCUGAUACGUUAAUGGCACUCUGAAUGUAUGGUAGUAGAGCAGAAAGACCCCAAUGAAGCGUAAAGGCUAAUAAGGACAGCGAUAAACUGAAUAAUUUAACAAAACGGCUGGACGUAAAAUGGAGGCAGAAAAGAUAUAAACAAUAGUUGCGCUGUAUGGUGAACAUGGAAAGCAAAAACAUCAGCUCAGGCCAAUUUGCCAAUAAACAGAUCACAAGCGGCGUGCGCGUUUCAUUGCCCCGCGCGAAUGUGAUUUGAGCAGGAAAAAAAUGUUCUGGACGGCUGCCAUAUGUGCGCCUCACUCAAAAUGCUCAAAAUAAUCAGAUCCUUUUAUAAGUUUGGAGUUUUAAUCAUUGCAACUAUUGGAACCACUAAACACUUUGUUUAAACACUCACUAAACUAAAUAGUUUUGAGAUUCAACAGAGAAUUCUUCUAUACGAAUGUAUUGUAGAACCACAUUUUGUAUUCGCAGCAUUGCAACUGAUAGAAUUACCAAAAGCUUCGUUUAAUUUUAAAUUUAUCAGUUAACACUUCUUUACAAAUGAUACCUAGAAGAAAUAAGUUUUAUAUUCAGUUUUAAUGAAUUUAUUUUACAUUUCAGAUCACAAGCGGCGUGCGCGUUUCAUUGCCCCGCGCGAAUGUGAUUUGAGCAGGAAAAAAAUGUUCUAGGCGACUGCCAUACGUGCGCAUCACUCAAAAUGCUCAAAAUAAUCAGAUCCUUUUAUAAGUUUGGAGUUUUAAUCAUUGCAACUAUUGGAACCACUAAACACUUUGUUAAAACUCUCACAAAACUAAAUAGUUUAAAAAUUUCACAAAAAAAUCUAUCUCACGAAUGUCUCAUAUAACAACAAUUUGCAUUCGCAGCAUUGCAACUGAUAGAAUUACCAAAAGCUUCGUUUAAUUUUAAAUUUAUCAGUUAACACUUCUUUACAAAUGAUACCUAGACCAAAAAAGGUUUUAUAUUCAGUUUUAAUGAAUUCAUUUUACAUUUCAGAUCACAAGCGGCGUGCGCGUUUCAUUGCCCCGCGCGAAUGUGAUUUGAGCAGGAAAAAAUUGUUCUAGGCGGCUGCCAUAUGUGCGCAUCAUUCAAAAUGCUCAAAAUAAUCAGAUCCUUUUAUAAGUUUGGAGUUUUAAUCAUUGCAACUAUUGGAACCACUAAACACUUUGUUUAAACUCUCACAAAACUAAAUAGUUUAAAAAUUUCACAAAAAAUCUAUCUCACGAAUGCCUCAUAUAACAACAAUUUGUAUUCGCAGCAUUGCAACUGAUAGAAUUACCAAAAGCUUCGUUUAAUUUAAAAUUUAUCAGUUAACACUUCUUUACAAAUGAUACCUAGAAGAAAUAAGUUUUAUAUUCAGUUUUAAUGAAUUCAUUUUACAUUUCAGAUCACAAGCGGCGUGCGCGUUUCAUUGCCCCGCGCGAAUGUGAUUUGAGCAGGAAAAAAUUGUUCUAGGCGGCUGCCAUAUGUGCGCAUCACUCAAAAUGCUCAAAAUAAUCAGAUCCUUUUAUAAGUUUGGAGUUUUAAUCAUUGCAACUAUUGGAACCACUAAACACUUUGUUUAAACACUCACUAAACUAAAUAGUUUUAAAAUUCAACAGAGAAUUCUUCUAUACGAAUGUAUUGUAGAACCACAUUUUGUAUUCGCACCAUUGCAACUGAUAGAAUCGCCAAAAGCUUCGUUUAAUUUUAAAUUUAUCAGUUAACACUCCUUUAUAAAUGAUACGUAGACCAAAAAAGGUUUUAUAUUCAGUUUUAAUGAAUUCAUUUUACAUUUCAGAUCACAAGCGGCGUGCGCGUUUCAUUGCCCCGCGCGAAUGUGAUUUGAGCAGGAAAAAAAUGUUCUAGGCGGCUGCCAUAUGUGCGCAUCACUCAAAAUGCUCAAAAUAGUCAGAUCCUUUUAUAAGUUUGGAGUUUUAAUCAUUGCAACUAUUGGAACCACUAAACACUUUGUUUAAACACUCACUAAACUAAAUAGUUUUAAAAUUCAACAGAGAAUUCUUCUAUACGAAUGUAUUGUAGAACCACAUUUUGUAUUCGCACCAUUGCAACUGAUAGAAUCGCCAAAAGCUUCGUUUAAUUUUAAAUUUAUCAGUUAACACUUCUUUACAAAUGAUACCUAGACCAAAAAAGGUUUUAUAUUCAGUUUUAAUGAAUUCAUUUUACAUUUCAGAUCACAAGCGGCGUGCGCGUUUCAUUGCCCCGCGCGAAUGUGAUUUGAGCAGGAAAAAAAUGUUCUAGGCGACUGCCAUACGUGCGCAUCACUCAAAAUGCUCAAAAUAAUCAGAUCCUUUUAUAAGUUUGGAGUUUUAAUCAUUGCAACUAUUGGAACCACUAAACACUUUGUUAAAACUCUCACAAAACUAAAUAGUUUCAAAAUUUCACAAAAAAAUCUAUCUCACGAAUGUCUCAUAUAACAACAAUUUGCAUUCGCAGCAUUGCAACUGAUAGAAUUACCAAAAGCUUCGUUUAAUUUGAAAUUUAUCAGUUAACACUUCUUUACAAAUGAUACCUAGAAGAAAUAAGUUUUAUAUUCAGUUUUAAUGAAUUUAUUUUACAUUUCAGAUCACAAGCGGCGUGCGCGUUUCAUUGCCCCGCGCGAAUGUGAUUUGAGCAGGAAAAAAAUGUUCUAGGCGACUGCCAUACGUGCGCAUCACUCAAAAUGCUCAAAAUAAUCAGAUCCUUUUAUAAGUUUGGAGUUUUAAUCAUUGCAACUAUUGGAACCACUAAACACUUUGUUAAAACUCUCACAAAACUAAAUAGUUUAAAAAUUUCACAAAAAAAUCUAUCUCACGAAUGUCUCAUAUAACAACAAUUUGCAUUCGCAGCAUUGCAACUGAUAGAAUUACCAAAAGCUUCGUUUAAUUUUAAAUUUAUCAGUUAACACUUCUUUACAAAUGAUACCUAGACCAAAAAAGGUUUUAUAUUCAGUUUUAAUGAAUUCAUUUUACAUUUCAGAUCACAAGCGGCGUGCGCGUUUCAUUGCCCCGCGCGAAUGUGAUUUGAGCAGGAAAAAAAUGUUCUAGGCGACUGCCAUAUGUGCGCAUCACUCAAAAUGCUCAAAAUAGUCAGAUCCUUUUAUUAGUUUGGAGUUUUAAUCAUUGCAACUAUUGGAACCACUAAACACUUUGUUUAAACGCUCACUAAACUAAAUAGUUUUAAAAUUCAACAGAGAAUUCUUCUAUACGAAUGUAUUGUAGAACCACAUUUUGUAUUCGCACCAUUGCAACUGAUAGAAUCACCAAAAGCUUCGUUUAAUUUUAAAUUUAUCAGUUAACACUUCUUUACAAAUGAUACCUAGAAGAAAUAAGUUUUAUAUUCAGUUUUAAUGAAUUCAUUUUACAUUUCAGAUCACAAGCGGCGUGCGCGUUUCAUUGCCCCGCGCGAAUGUGAUUUGAGCAGGAAAAAAUUGUUCUAGGCGGCUGCCAUAUGUGCGCAUCACUCAAAAUGCUCAAAAUAAUCAGAUCCUUUUAUAAGUUUGGAGUUUUAAUCAUUGCAACUAUUGAAACCACUAAACACUUUGUUUAAACUCUCACAAAACUAAAUAGUUUAAAAAUUUCACAAAAAAUCUAUCUCACGAAUGCCUCAUAUAACAACAAUUUGUAUUCGCAGCAUUGCAACUGAUAGAAUUACCAAAAGCUUCGUUUAAUUUGAAAUUUAUCAGUUAACACUUCUUUACAAAUGAUACCUAGAAGAAAUAAGUUUUAUAUUCAGUUUUAAUGAAUUUAUUUUACAUUUCAGAUCACAUGCGGCGUGCCCGUUUCAUUGCCCCACGCGAAUGUGAUUUGAGCAGGAAAAAAAUGUUCUGGACGGCUGCAAGGUGUGCGCCUCAUUCAAAAUUGCCAAAUCGCUUUAUAAGUUUGGAGCUUUAAUCAUUGCAACUAAUGGAACCACUAAACAAUUUAUUUAAACAUUCAUGAAACAAAAUUAACUGAAAAUUCAGUAGAAAAAUCUUCUUUACGACUGCCUCGUAGAGCAACAUUUUGAUUUCGCACCUUUGUAACUGAUAGAAACACUAAAAGCUUCGUUUAAAUUCAAAUUCAGUAGUAAAACACUUCUUCAAAAAUGAUACUUAGAACAAAUAAGCUUUAUAUUCAGUUUUAAUGAAUUCAUUUUAAAUUUCAGAUUACAAGCGGCGUGCGCGUUUCAUUGCCUCGCGCCAAUGUGAUUUGAGCAGGAAAAAAAUGUUCUGGACGGCUGCAAGGUGUGCGCCUCAUUCAAAAUUGCCAAAUCGCUUUAUAAGUUUGGAGCUUUAAUCAUUGCAACUAAUGGAACCACUAAACAAUUUAUUUAAACAUUCAUGAAACAAAAUUAACUGAAAAUUCAGUAGAAAAAUCUUCUUUACGACUGCCUCGUAGAGCAACAUUUUGAUUUCGCACCUUUGUAACUGAUAGAAACACUAAAAGCUUCGUUUAAAUUCAAAUUCAGUAGUAAAACACUUCUUCAAAAAUGAUACUUAGAACAAAUAAGCUUUAUAUUCAGUUUUAAUGAAUUCAUUUUAAAUUUCAGAUUACAAGCGGCGUGCGCGUUUCAUUGCCUCGCGCCAAUGUGAUUUGAGCAGGAAAAAAAUGUUCUGGACGGCUGCAAGGUGUGCGCCUCAUUCAAAAUUGCCAAAUCGCUUUAUAAGUUUGGAGCUUUAAUCAUUGCAACUAAUAGAACCACUAAACAAUUUAUUUAAACAUUCACUAAAAAAAUUAAUUGAAAAUUCAGUAGAAAAAUCUUCUUUACGAGUGCCUUGUAGAGCAACAUUUUGAUUUCGCACCAUUGUAACUGAUAGAAACACUAAAAGCUUCGUUUAAAUUCAAAUUCAGUAGUAAAACACUUCUUCAAAAAUGAUACUUAGAACAAAUAAGCUUUAUAUUCAGUUUUAAUGAAUUCAUUUUAAAUUUCAGAUUACAAGCGGCGUGCGCGUUUCAUUGCCUCGCGCCAAUGUGAUUUGAGCAGGAAAAAAAUGUUCUGGACGGCUGCAAGGUGUGCGCCUCAUUCAAAAUUGCCAAAUCGCUUUAUAAGUUUGGAGCUUUAAUCAUUGCAACUAAUAGAACCACUAAACAAUUUAUUUAAACAUUCACUAAAAAAAUUAAUUGAAAAUUCAGUAGAAAAAUCUUCUUUACGAGUGCCUUGUAGAGCAACAUUUUGAUUUCGCACCAUUGUAACUGAUAGAAACACUAAAAGCUUCGUUUAAAUUCAAAUUCAGUAGUAAAACACUUCUUCAAAAAUGAUACUUAGA